rnacentral:rRNA from 1 species
GGAGAAAUUCCAAUCGAACCCGGAGAUAGCUGGUUCUCCUCGAAAUAGCUUUAGGGCUAGCCUCAUGAGAGUCUUAUGGAGGUAGAGCACUGAAUUGCCUAGGGGGCGUCAAAGCUUACCAAAGCAUAUCAAACUCCGAAUGCCAUCAAGAUGAUUCAUGGGAGUCAGACCAUACGAGAUAAGUUGGAUGGUCAAAAGGGAAAGAGCCCAGACCUACAGCUAAGGUCCCAAAGUACGUGUUAAGUGGAAAAGGAUGUGGGGAUUCUAAGACAACUAGGACGUUGGCUUAGAAGCAGCCAUUCAUUGAAAGAGUGCGUAAUAGCUCACUAGUCGAGAGUCCCUGCGCCGAAAAUGUCCGGGGCUGAAACACGACACCGAAGCUUAGGAAUGUGUAAACAUUGGUAGAGGAGCAUUGCUGGCGGGAUGAAGCCAUACCGUAAGGAGUGGUGGACUGCUAGGAAGAGAGAAUGCCGGAAUGAGUAGCGAGAUGAAGGUGAGAAUCCUUCAGGCCGAAUAUCUAAGGUUUCCAGAGUAAAGCUGAUCUGCUCUGGGUAAGUCGGGACCUAAGGCGAGGUCGAAAGACGUAGUCGAUGGAUAACAGGUUGAAAUUCCUGUACCGCAUAUAAACAGAACUGUGGGGACACAGACAGGGAAUGGAAUCCGGGAGUGGAAAUCCCGGUGCAAGCGAGGUAGGAGUGCUGUUGGCAAAUCCGCAGCACGAUCUGAAGACGUGACGCGUACCGAACAUAAGUAGGGAAGUCCAGGCCCCUGGCUGUCAAGAAAAGCCGCUAUCGUUUUAUAUGUGCCCGUACCGCAAACCGACACAGGUGGAUGAGGAGAGAAUCCUAAGGCCGACGGGAGAAGUAUUGUUAAGGAACUCGGCAAAAUGACUCCGUAACUUCGGGAGAAGGAGUGCCAUGAGAGUGGCCGCAGAGAAAUGGCCCAAGCAACUGUUUAGCAAAAACACAGGUCUAUGCAAAACCGCAAGGUGAAGUAUAUGGGCUGACGCCUGCCCGGUGCUGGAAGGUUAAGGGGAGAGGUUAGCGCAAGCGAAGCUUUGAACUUAAGCCCCAGUAAACGGCGGCCGUAACUAUAACGGUCCUAAGGUAGCGAAAUUCCUUGUCGGGUAAGUUCCGACCCGCACGAAAGGCGUAAUGAUUUGGGCACUGUCUCGACAAUGCACCCGGUGAAAUUGAAAUACCAGUGAAGAUGCUGGUUACCUGCGCCAGGACGGAAAGACCCCAUGGAGCUUUACUCCAGUUUGAUACUGGGAUUCGGCAUGGUAUGUACAGGAUAGGUGGGAGACUGAGAAGGUAUGACGUCAGUUGUACCGGAGUCGCUGUUGGGAUACCACCCUUACCAUGUUGGAUUUCUAACCUGUGGCCGUAAGCCGGUCAGGGGACAAUGUCAGGCGGGGAGUUUGACUGGGGCGGUCGCCUCCGAAAGGGUAUCGGAGGCGCUCAAAGGUUCCCUCAGAAUGGUUGGAAACCAUUCGAAGAGUGCAAAGGCAGAAGGGAGCUUGACUGCGACACCGACGGGUGGAGCAGGUACGAAAGUAGGACUUAGUGAUCCGGUGGUAUAAAGUGGGAUUGCCAUCGCUCAACGGAUAAAAGCUACCCUGGGGAUAACAGGCUUAUCACUCCCAAGAGUUCACAUCGACGGAGUGGUUUGGCACCUCGAUGUCGGCUCAUCGCAUCCUGG